AGGAAGAACCUCAGAGUCUCUGUGAGUUAGUGCAGCAAAAGACAUGUAGCCUCUGCCCACUUCACUCUCCAUGAGGCUUACUGCCUGCGGUUCCUGGUCCUGUGUCCGGAGUGUGAGGAGCCUGUCCCCAAGGAAACCAUGGAGGAGCACUGCAAGGUUGAGCACCAGCAGGUGAGGAGGCGGCAGGGAGGAUGGGGUCUGGGAGUCAAGGUGAGUGU
rnacentral:sRNA from 1 species